rnacentral:tRNA from 1 species
UUAGCUCAGUUUGGUCAGAGCAUGGUGCUAAUAACACCAAGGUUGUAGGCUCAAUCCCCAUA